rnacentral:rRNA from 1 species
AUUGAACGCUGGCGGCAGGCCUAACACAUGAAAGUCGGGCGAGCGGCGGACGGGUGAGUAAUGUCUGGGAAACGGCCCGAUGGAGGGGGGUAACUACUGGAAAAGGUAGCUAAUACCGCAUACCAUCGGAUGUGCCCAGAUGGAAGUUGCUAGUAUGUGGGGUAACGGCUCACCUAGGCGACGAGCCCUCGCUGGUCUGAGAGGAGGACCCGCCCCCCUGGAACGGUGACACGGUCCAGACUCCCACGUGAGGCAGCAGUGGGGAAUAGUGCACAAUGGGCGCAAGCCUGAUGCAGCCAUGCCGCGUGGAUGAAGAUGGCCUUCGGGUUGUAAAGUACUUUCAGUCGGGAGGCGUUACCGACAGAAGAAGCACCGGCUAACUCCGUGCCAGCAGCCGCGGUAAUAC